CGCUGACAGCGCUCUGCCGUCAUCGGCAAACACACCAGGCCACGGGCGUGUUUUACCAUGAAGUUAAUGGCUUCGGGAGUGACAUGCUCAGCAGCCAUGAUG
rnacentral:antisense_RNA from 1 species